GACAGAGGGUGCAAACGUUGUUCGGAAUUACUGGGCGUAAAGCGCGUGUAGGCGGCCCUGCAAGUCGGGUGUGAAAUCCCACGGCUCAACCGUGGAAGUGCAUUCGAAACUGCAGGGCUAGAGUUCGGUAGGGGAGACUGGAAUUCCUGGUGUAGCGGUGAAAUGCGCAGAUAUCAGGAGGAACACCGGUGGCGAAGGCGGGUCUCUGGGCCGAUACUGACGCUGAGGAGCGAAAGCGUGGGGAGCAAACAGG
rnacentral:rRNA from 1 species